UGGGGAAUAUGUCAAAGAGACAACAAACCGACUAUGGGCCAGACAACAGCUGAAGGUCACCAAUGGGUCUUCAACGCAGCGAGACAAUCCCGCACCCGGAGGUGGUCCUCAGCUGGCCCUUAAUAAAAUUAUGUACUAUGUGCACUAAAGUUUAACAUGUAUAUCGAUUUUAGUCCACACAUGUCUUGCUUUAAAUACUUGGUUUUAA
rnacentral:lncRNA from 1 species